rnacentral:lncRNA from 1 species
ACCAGGAAAAAGCGGGGCCAUUUCAGUGGGUGGACGGUCGCUGAAGUUCGAACCCGAGUUGAGGGGCGAGUAAGAACCGCCAGAUCGGUUGACCCGGCAGCGGAUCGGAAUGUAGCGGGUGGUAGGGGUAGGGAAUCGGACGGCGUGGGAGAGAGGGGCGAGGGAUCGACGGCCGAGCAUGAGGGAUGGGAUGGAAGGGGUAUUUGUGAGUUUGGAAGUGGAGAAGAGGCGUUUGGGUACUAGGAGAGAGAUUGUGGGGUGGCGAGCGGUUGCGGUGGUGGUGGCGGUGGCCAUGGCAAUAGCUCGGAUUAGGGUUUGAACCAUUUUUGGGGGACUGGGGGGGAGUGAGAGUGAGGAAAUGAG